GUGGCAAAAACAUUGAGCUCAUCAGGAAGGCAUGUGUUUUUGUCCGCUAUUCUGUUCUGCUUCAUUUUGUAUUCUGGUAUGUCGUGUCGGCAUUGCUACGGGCAGUGAGUGUCCAUGUGGUUAGUUUGGGUCUCGAACUUAGUCUGUUACUGCCUUUUGGCAUCUCUAAUGGCCUUGCGGAGGUCGUAUCUGGGUCAUCUGACUUGAGCAGUCUCUCUGUUCCCUCCGGAAGGCAAGUCUAGCUUUAAGUUCAUCCAUUUUGUUCUCAAUGGCUUGGACAUUUGCUAGGAAUAUGCAGGGGAGGGAGGACUUGAAACUGUGUAUUUUUUUUCAAUCUCACCUGCAGGCCAGCACGUUUUCCAUGCUUCUUGGUAGGUUUCCUGCUUCUGGACGGUCCUGGGCAUCGAUGGUGCAAGUCAGCUGCUUCAGAAGAUGCUGCCAGACCUGCUGAGCUUUCCCAGCAAUGUCUGUUUUUGUUCGUGUGACUUCUAACCUUGUCCACCCCAGUCGAACAUUAUUUAUACAUUUAUGGAAUGUGGAUGUCCCUAAUUGCUCUGGAGAUAGUGCUACUGAGUUGCUGCCUUGAACCACUGUAGUCCUUGGGACAUAGGGACACCCUUAGUGCUCUUAGGAAGGAAAUUUGAAGAUUUUGAACAAUGAAAAAAUGGAGAUAUUUUUACACGUCUGGAUGUUUGUGUGGCUUGGAAGAGAACUUACAGGAGAUGGUGUUCCCAUGCGAAUGCUACCUUUGCCCUUCAAGAUGACAGAAGUUGGAGGUUUGACAAGUGCAGUCAGAAGAGGCUAUAUGAGUUAAUGCAAUGUGUUGUGUAAAUGGUACACAUUGCUGCCGUGUGCUUGGGUGACAAUAGACUCUGUGAAAGGCAAUGGGUGGGGUACCAACUAAACAAGCUGCUUUGUCCUGGAUGAUGUUAUGCUUCUUGAGCAUUGUUAGAGCAUUCAGCCACAAGGUACUAUAAAUGGUGCAGAGUAUUGUGCAAUCAACAGCAGACAUCCCCAUUUCUGACCUGAAGACGAAAGGAAGGUCAUUCAUGAAGUAACUGAAGAUGUUUAGCUCUACGACAUAAUCUUGAAGAACCUCUGCAGUGAUUUCCUGAAGCCAAAUUGAAUGGCCUCCAACAAGAAAACUAUCUUCCUUUGUGCUAGGUAUGACACCAAACAAAUCAACAUGUUUGUCUCUGAUUCCGAUUGCUACCAGUUUUGCUAAGGAUUCUCGAUGCCCAACUUGUUAAAUGCUACCUUGAUAUUAAAAGUAGUCACUUUCACUUCA